GUAGUUGUGGCCGAGUGGUUAAGGUGAUGGACUUGAAGUCCAUUGAGAGUUUCCUGCGCAGGUUCGAAUCCUGUCGACUAAG